rnacentral:rRNA from 1 species
GGGCCCGCACAAGCGGAGGAACAUGUGGUUUAAUUCGAUGAUACGCGAGGAACCUUACCCGGGCUCGAACGGCAUUUGAAUAUAUUGGAAACAGUAUAGCUAGCAAUAGCAGAUGUCGAGGUGCUGCAUGGUUGUCGUCAGCUCGUGCCGUGAGGUGUCGGCUUAAGUGCCAUAACGAGCGCAACCCUUACCGUUAGUUACCAUCAGGUUAAGCUGGGGACUCUAGCGGGACUGCCACCGUAAGGUGUGAGGAAGGUGGGGAUGACGUCAAAUCAGCACGGCCCUUACGUCCGGGGCGACACACGUGUUACAAUGGGGGGGGACAGCAGGUUGCCACUUGGUGACAAGGCGCUAAUCCUUGAAACCCUCUCCCAGUUCGGAUUGGAGUCUGCAACUCGACUCCAUGAAGCUGGAUUCGCUAGUAAUCGCGCAUCAGCCAUGGCG